rnacentral:rRNA from 1 species
ACCUGCCCAGAAGCGGGGGAUAACACCUGGAAACAGAUGCUAAUACCGCAUAACAACUUGGACCGCAUGGUCCGAGCUUGAAAGAUGGCUUCGGCUAUCACUUUUGGAUGGUCCCGCGGCGUAUUAGCUAGAUGGUGGGGUAACGGCUCACCAUGGCAAUGAUACGUAGCCGACCUGAGAGGGUAAUCGGCCACAUUGGGACUGAGACACGGCCCAAACUCCUACGGGAGGCAGCAGUAGGGAAUCUUCCACAAUGGACGAAAGUCUGAUGGAGCAACGCCGCGUGAGUGAAGAAGGGUUUCGGCUCGUAAAACUCUGUUGUUAAAGAAGAACAUAUCUGAGAGUAACUGUUCAGGUAUUGACGGUAUUUAACCAGAAAGCCACGGCUAACUACGUGCCAGCAGCCGCGGUAAUACGUAGGUGGCAAGCGUUGUCCGGAUUUAUUGGGCGUAAAGCGAGCGCAGGCGGUUUUUUAAGUCUGAUGUGAAAGCCUUCGGCUCAACCGAAGAAGUGCAUCGGAAACUGGGGAAACUUGAGUGCAGAAGAGGACAGUGGAACUCCAUGUGUAGCGGUGAAAUGCGUAGAUAUAUGGAAAGAACACCAGUGGCGAAGGCGGCUGUCUGGUCUGUAACUGACGCUGAGGCUCGAAAGUAUGGGUAGCAAACAGGAUUAGAUACCCUGGUAGUCCAUACCGUAAACGAUGAAUGCUAAGUGUUGG